rnacentral:tRNA from 1 species
GGGCCUGUAGCGUAAUCCGGUAGCGCAUUCCCAUGGCAUGGGAGGAGUUCGGGUUCAAAUCCCGACAGGUCCA